rnacentral:rRNA from 1 species
AGUGAACGCUGGCGGUAGGCCUAACACAUGCAAGUCGAACGGCAGCACAGUAAGAGCUUGCUCUUACGGGUGGCGAGUGGCGGACGGGUGAGGAAUACAUCGGAAUCUACUUUUUCGUGGGGGAUAACGUAGGGAAACUUACGCUAAUACCGCAUACGACCUACGGGUGAAAGCAGGGGAUCUUCGGACCUUGCGCGAUUGAAUGAGCCGAUGUCGGAUUAGCUAGUUGGCGGGGUAAAGGCCCACCAAGGCGACGAUCCGUAGCUGGUCUGAGAGGAUGAUCAGCCACACUGGAGGUGAGACACGGUCCAGACUCCUACGGGAGGCAGCAGUGGGGAAUAUUGGACAAUGGGCGCAAGCCUGAACCAGCCAUGCCGCGUGGGUGAAGAAGGCCUUCGGGUUGUAAAGCCCUUUUGUUGGGAAAGAAAAGCAGCAGGUUAAUACCCCGCUGUUCUGACGGUACCCAAAGAAUAAGCACCGGCAAACUUCGU